AAAACUCCUGAAUCCAAGUUUUAUUACCGUGUAGGAGAAGAGGGGUCACUCACAAUAUAUUGCUCGAAAAGAAAUACAUUCAACAGCAUUUACAGUAGAAUGACAUUAAAAUCCUUUGGUGGGGGGUAUGGGGGAAAUAGAAAGACCAGGAGGUGGUGCUCAGAUGAAGUGUUGCUGCUUGGUGAUCUCUGGAAGAUACCACAAGUUUUAAAAUUAGCCUAAAAAAGGAAGGGGGGGGGAUUUGUGUUGUUGGGGCACUCCUUACACUCCCCAGGCUCUGCUAAGCUGUGCAGUGUCUGUGAUGGUGAUCCUGGGAGAGACACAGCGGGGAGGGAACGGAGGACAGGAGCUCGCUGUGUCCCAGCUGUAGGACAUGGUGCCAACAGUCCCUGAGCAAUGUCACCCCGCGUCCUGGGGACACCAGGCUCCAGCUCUGGGACAUUCUGGGGUGCAGGGGCUGCUCACCUUUCCCAGCUCUCUUGCAUUGACAAGAAAAGAAAGAGGAAAAUAAGGCAUUAUUCAGGUGGGAGCAUCUCCAACGCAGAUCUGUGUGCCUUGGGGCUGGAUGUGGCACAGCUGGAGCCAGCUGCAUCCAACCAGCUAACACAGCAGCUUUCAGAGCUUCAGAGCAGAACGUCGCUUCUCUGCUUUGGGAAUGAAUCACCAUCACCCCUACGCACACUGCCUGGGGAUGGGCCCAGGGAAGCACUCAUCCUCGUGCUACAAAAACUCAGACAGAUACAUCUGUCUUCAUCAUUUUUUUUCAUCUAUUGUGUACCAUAGAAAUUUAAGCAAAAUAAUUUUAUAUAUUUAUAUAUAUAUAUAUAUAUAUAUAAAUUAGAAGCAAAUAAAUAAGAUUUAGGGGUACGUUGAGAUCAGUGGGUGUUGCCACUCCAAUAGCCACUCACUACUGUUAUGCCAUACGAGGUCUAUGUAUACUGUACACACAGGUUUGCUGCAGGCAGCAGGUGCUGGAAGAGAAGCCAACCAGGAGGAGACUGAUGGUGGAGGAACCUGAUUGCAUAAGAGUUCCAUAGGUUUCGCAGUUCCCAUUGCCUCAAAGUUCAUUAUUGCUAAUUAUCUUCCGAUGGGGACGUGGCAGUCCAGCUACAGCCACAGCCCCUGCUGUUUUCUGGGCGGAGAUUCACAGCUGGUUUUGUUUGUUUUUGAAGGAAUCUGAACCAGGAACAGCAUUUCUUUUUAACAAGUGGGGGGGGGGAAAGAUGCCAAAAGAAAGAGCUCACACAAACGCACGGCAU
ensembl:lncRNA